rnacentral:rRNA from 1 species
AGCGAACGCUGGCGGCAGGCUUAACACAUGCAAGUCGAGCGGACACUUUCGGGUGUCAGCGGCGGACGGGUGAGUAACGCGUGGGAACGUGCCCUCUGGUUCGGAAUAACUCAGGGAAACUUGAGCUAAUACCGGAUACGCCCUUUUGGGGAAAGGCUUGCUGCCGGAGGAUCGGCCCGCGUCUGAUUAGCUAGUUGGUGAGGUAACGGCUCACCAAGGCGACGAUCAGUAGCUGGUCUGAGAGGAUGAUCAGCCACACUGGGACUGAGGCACGGCCCAGACUCCUACGGGAGGCAGCAGUGGGGAAUAUUGGACAAUGGGCGCAAGCCUGAUCCAGCCAUGCCGCGUGAGUGAUGAAGGCCUUAGGGUUGUAAAGCUCUUUUAUCCGGGACGAUAAUGACGGUACCGGAGGAAUAAGCCCCGGCUAACUUCGUG